AGUAGGUUCCUGCUCAUUAAUGCAGAACAAGAGAAUUAAGAGUAUUCAGCCAUUGGCACCUUGCAAGGGAGAACUGAGGACUGAAGACUCUGGGCAAAGAUUAGCCAUACCUUCACGCAAAGCAAUCCUGUCUCCUUAGGUAGGCUUGCUAUACACCUUGGGCCUCCCCAUCUCCCUCCCAGUAAGCAACAGUGACCCACAAAAUGUCGGAAUCUCCACUCGGGCGAGCUGAUAAAAGCUCAUCUUCCAGCCGAGUCCUCCAGAAUCGCCUCCGAUGAAUAAUUAACAACCUUGAGCCUUUGAUGAGGCACGUUCCCCCAUUCAGCAGAGAAUCCAGGCAGCAGAAGUGAUGAGAUUUAUGGCUACAUCACUAUGCUUUAUUUCUUACUACGCAGACAAAGAAAAAUACAUCCUCUACCUGUGAGAGCAGAGAGCAACCGAACAACUACGGAACAAAGGAAACAGGAAACCAGUAACGUGACAUCCGUCUCCCAUUCCCGUGAGACUUCCAACAGCCUGCACUGUCUCUGGAAUGUAAACAGAGCCUUGUGACUCUAAGCAGCUGCUCAGUGGCAAAACAGAAACUAACACAAAAUCGUGAAAAUAAUGUUGGGAAAUGUGUGAAUACCAGUAUAUUAGGAGAAAUGCACAUAAAAUUGUAUUAAAAAAUAAAAAUAAAAAUUAAAA